GUUUACACAUGGGAUCAGCUGAUCAAACUUUGUCCUGGACUUUAAACAUUCCAGAGGAGAUCAGAAGAAGGACAACGAGGGGAUGUAGGGGAGGCAAAAAACAGCAAGGAGGAAAUAAAGAACGGAGAAGAGCGCGUUUUCACACACCAUAUUAAUCACUGUUUACGUUCCUCCAUCCGCUAAUGUCACUGCUGCGUGUGACGUCAUUCAGACGUCACCUCCAACCUGCAGACCAGACACCCUGACGCCUUCUUUAUGAUCUCUGGAGACUUUAGUCACGCCACCCUCAAUAAGACACUUCCUACCUUUACCCAGUUUGUGAGCUGUCCCACCAGGGGGAGAGGACAUUGGACCUGAUGUAUGCUAAUAUUAAAGAUGCCUACAGCUCCACUGCCCUCCCCCCUCUGGGAAAGUCAGAUCACAACCUGGUACAUCUCCUCCCACAAUACACACCUUUGGUUCACAGGCAGCCUCCCACCAUUAAAACUGUAAAGAGGUGGACAGAGGGGGCACACCUUGCCCUGCAGGGAUGCUUUGAAGAGACAGACUGGAAGACUCUCUGUGAACCUCACGGUGAGCACAUCGAUGGACUGACGGACUGCAUCUCUGACAACAUUAAUUUCUGUGUGGACACCCAGGUACCUACAAAAACCAUUUGCUGCUUCCCAAACAAUAAGCCCUGGGUCACUAAGGACAUUAAAGCCAUCCUGAAUGACAAAAAGAAGGCAUUCAGAUCAGGAGACAGGGAGGCAGCAAGGAGGGUCCAGAGACUGCUGUCUGUCAGGAUCAGGGAGGGGAAGGAGACGUACAGGAGAAAACUAGAUCAUAGUCUUCAACAGAUCAACACCAGGGAGGUUUGGAGGGGCAUGAGGACCAUCACUGGCUACAAGUCCAGCAGCCAGGAGACUGUGGGGACUGUGGACCGAGCCAAUGAAUUGAAUAAUUUCUUCAGUCGAUUCCAGGCUGAUCCACAGAGCCCACUUCAGUUCACUCUCCCCUCCUCAGUCCCUCCCCCACACGACUCAGCCACUGCCCUAACAAUCUCAGCUGAGCAGG
rnacentral:lncRNA from 1 species